UUCUUUGCCUUUUUCAUUCAUUUGUUAGUUUUUAUGGGGUGGAAAUGAAAGAAGAGAGGUGAAAUAACUUUUUGUUGAAGGUAUUUUAACUGAUUUUAAUAUGGAAAGAGUGAUUAGGUCAAGUGCAAAAAGGUAAUAUUUUCAGUUUUCGGAACAUCUCUUGACUUGUCCAUAGGGGUAUGGAUGUGUAUUGGCUAAAUUUGUAAGUUACAUCAGAGCAAUCUUUCUGAAUUUUGGAUAUGUUUUUGGACUAGUACUAUACAUUACACACACAAAAAAUUUGACAAAAAGAUUAGGUCCAAUUUUUUUAAUGAGACAAAAAGUUAUAAAGAACUAAUAGAGGAAUUAAUUGUGGUCUGUGGCCAUAUAGG
rnacentral:lncRNA from 1 species